rfam:Candidatus Daviesbacteria bacterium RIFCSPHIGHO2_01_FTLL_40_11 rifcsphigho2_01_scaffold_2156, whole genome shotgun sequence.
GAGCGGUUAGCUCAGCUGGCUAGAGCGCAGCAUUGACAUUGCUGAGGUCGCUGGUUCAAAUCCAGCACCGCUCA